rnacentral:rRNA from 1 species
UUGGGUUAAGUCCCGUAACGAGCGCAACCCUUGUCCUUAGUUACCAGCACGUUAUGGUGGGCACUCUAAGGAGACUGCCGGUGACAAACCGGAGGAAGGUGGGGAUGACGUCAAGUCAUCAUGGCCCUUACGGCCUGGGCUACACACGUGCUACAAUGGUCGGUACAGAGGGUUGCCAAGCCGCGAGGUGGAGCUAAUCCCACAAAACCGAUCGUAGUCCGGAUCGCAGUCUGCAACUCGACUGCGUGAAGUCGGAAUCGCUAGUAAUCGC